rnacentral:rRNA from 1 species
AGGCCAGCCUGCCAGUGAUCAUUUCAACGGCCACGGUACCCUAACCGUGCGAAGGUAGCACAAUCACUUGUUCUUUAAAUAAGGACUAGUAUGAACGGCAUCACGAAGACUAUACUGUCUCCUUUCUUCAAUCAGUGAAACUGAUCUUCCCGUGAAGAAGCGGGAAUCACAACAUAAGACGAGAAGACCCCAUGAAGCUUCAAAUUAAAUACUAACUGCUAUUCUAACACCACCACAACCUAGCAGAUCUAGUCAUUAAUUUUAGGUUGGGGUGACCACGGAGCACAACAAAACCUCCACAAUGAAAAGGCCUGACUCCCUAAUUUAAGAACAACAAUUCUAACAAUCAAUAUAUUGACAUACUUGACCCAAAUUUUUGAUCAAUGAACCAAGUUACUCUGGGGAUAACAGCGCAAUCCAUUUCAAGAGCCCCUAUCGACAAAUGGGUUUACGACCUCGAUGUUGGAUCAGGGUAUCCCAGUGGUGUAGCCGCUACUAAAGGCUCGUUUGUUCAACGAUUAAAACCCUACGUGAUCUGAGUUC